rnacentral:rRNA from 1 species
AACGAACGCUGGCGGCGUGCUUAACACAUGCAAGUCGAACGCGAAAGGGACUUCGGUCCUGAGUAAAGUGGCGCACGGGUGAGUAACGCGUAGAUAACCUGUCUUCACGUCUGGAAUAAUACGCCGAAAGGGGUACUAAUACCGGAUAUUCUUGCUUUUCAUAAGUUUUGCAAGGAAAGGUGGCCUCUGAAUAUGCUACUGCGCGAAGAGGGGUCUGCGUACCAUUAGCUAGUAGGUGGGGUAAUGGCCUACCUAGGCUACGAUGGUUAGCGGGUCUGAGAGGAUGAUCCGCCACACGGGCACUGGAACACGGGCCAGACUCCUACGGGAGGCAGCAGUGAGGAAGAUUGCGCAAUGGGGGAAACCCUGACGCAGCGACGCCGCGUGAGUGAGGAAGGCCUUCGGGUCGUAAAAUCCUGUCAAGUGGAAAGAAGUGCAUGGUGGCUAAUAUCCAUCAUGUUUGACGGUACCACUGAAGGAAGCACCGGCUAACUCCGUGCCAGCCGCCGCGGUAAAAC